ACAGUGAUGUAUUAUUUUUGUUACACAUUUACAUUAUCAGUUUGUGAAGUUGUGGCUUACAGAAUUUCAAUGACUCCGAGUCGGAUGUUCUUUCUAUGUUUGCGUGAUAUGAAUAUUUAUUUUUCCAACAAAUCGAAUUAUUGUUUUCUCUUUUCCUGUUGUAAUUGUGAAGUAUAUUCAAGCAUUCUGUUAUAUUUCACAUCUUACGAUGUAUGGGUUGGGUUUACAGUUUGUAAUUAGCAUGCAUGUAUUGUUUAUUCUGUAAUAAUUCAGUUUGUUUUAUUUGUUGAAGUUUUCGAUUUAUUUUCAGUUGUCGAAGAUCUUGAAUUAUGGUAUUAGUUCUUGUUGGCGGUAAUAUACUACAUGAAAAUCAGAUUGUUCAACAACACUAGAGAGUGAAAGUUCUUUGUGCUCUGGAUCUUCAUAUGGAAAUCAAGCUCCUUCACUGAAUUCGACUCAACUCUGGUCACCAGAGCAGUGUGUCAAAAAUAUUAAAGAUUUAUUUGAUUCGGAUAAAACAAUUCACUCAUGUUACUUGUGCAGUAAAAAAGGUUGCACUAAUACUUGCACUAAAAGUAAAUUUCAACAUGCUUGGCUUUCGGCAAAGAAUUGGUGGCUAUUGUAUAUAGAAAAUGAAGGCAUGUACUGCAUUGUAUGUAAAACCCACAACAUGAAGCAUCCCAAUAAUCAAAGAGAAACUUUCUCUGGGACACCCAGUGUUAGGUUUAAAGUGGAUGCAUUGAACACACACAGCAAAUGCA